CAAAUAUAGCACAUACAAAAAUUUUAAGAUAGGAAAUAUUUAGCUCCUAACCAAAAGCCAAUUGUAACGAAGAGUAUUUAUAACUUAGUAGUUUAAUAUAUACAAGUUUUGUAGCACAUAAAUCAACAUAAUCUCAUAUUGACUUGAUGGGAUAAGGCUGUUGAGCCCACAUGGUGUUUGGUGACCAACAACUUCAUGUUCCCGAUGAAAGUUAGGGGACUCGGGUGAUUGAUGGCUUGCGCUUGUCUAUAUGGUCACUCUGGAAGGGAGACUUAUGGAUAACCUCUCGGUUUGCUAGUGGUUGGUUUACUGUUUAGGCGUCCUUCCGAUUUACUAGUGACUGGUUUAUUGUUUAGGCUUCUUCCAUCAUGUCAUGUGUGUUGGCGCAGAUAGAGAUAUAACAACAUUCCCCCCAUUCGAGUCAAGAAAUGGUUAUAAAAUGGCCUUCCUUGAGAUGUUUUGAUUUGUUAGCUCCAGAUGGUGGUCUUGUUUUGUGUUGAAGCAUUGUACCGAAACCUUUCAGAUCUGCCAUAAAUGUACUCUAAGGACUAUGUUCCUUGGGAGUUGUGAUAAUGGUGAACAAUAGCUUUUUGAAACAAGUGGUGAGUUUCCAUUGGAUGUCUUUUAUUCUUUGAAAUGAUGUGUUUUGGAAGAUAAGUCUAUAUAUUCUCUAAAUUUUCUUCUUAUUGACGUUUCAGUUUUUCUCAUCUUGGGACUUCCCAUGCAGCUCUUAUCUCAGCGAUGAGCUAAUUAUUUUGAAGCAGCGUUCUUGCUAAAUAAUUGCUCUUCCAAAUGUUGUAGCUUCUCUUAAGUUUCCGAGUCAUGGGGUUGAGGACUUUAUGCUUGUUGGUGAGAACCUUGUUCCACUAGGACAUGAGUCAUGGUUGGAGGUUGCGUGGCUGUGAGGCAAGUUACAACCUCUUGCGAACAAUGAGCUAUGUGGUCAAAAAGUCCAGGGGAGAUACGCUAGACUAUCGUUGAGUUGUUGUAGAAACUAGGGGAGUCGAGGCUGUUGAAGGGGUAAUUCCUAUUAGUGCAUUGAGAAUGACAGGGUUGGAAGCCAAGGGAUCUUUCAAAGCUUUCAUCAGCUACUCCAAAGUGGGGAGGAGGACGUUCGCAUACUGUAAAGGGGUUCCUGUAAGGGUGGAAGAGGAAAGAAUUUGAAUGGUGUUCAGGCCAGUGGAAACUCUUUGAAAUGGGUGGGAUAAGAGUGUUGGGUGGAGGAGAGUGUUAUAAAGAAUGAAGGUGAGGAGAUUGUAAAAGCUGAGAGUUGAAGGUAAGUUGACAGAGUGUAGGCUUGGUAGCUUUAAAAGUUGAUCCCUUCUUCAUCUUUCCUAGAGGUAUUUAUAGGCAAGGGUUCACGUGUAAGAUGGUGUUAACAUGUUAGACCUUAUCAUUUAAUCAUCAUUACGGGACACGUAGGGGGAUGUCUUCAAUAGGAAGAGGAUGUUUGUGACAAGACAAACCUUGUCAUUCAGUUUGACUUGAUGGAAUAAUGCAAAUGAGCCUAUGUAGUGUUUGAUGACCAAGAACUUCAUAUUCCCAAUAAAGAUUAAGGGACUCAAGUGACAGAUGACUCACACUUAUCCAGAUGAUUACUUCAAAAGGAAGGCUUGUGGAUGACCUCUCGGUUUACUGUUUGGGCGUCCUUCUAUCUUGCCACAUGUCCUGAUAGGGAUGGAGUAUAAAAAUCUCAAAUUUGAUCCCUUUAUCCUUAUUAAAAUAAUAUUAGAAAUAAAAAUUCAAAUUUCAAAAUCCAUCGGCGGCCAAUGAUGAUAAGGUCGAUAGAGAAAGUGCCAUAACUUUUUUAAUUAAGCCAAGUUUAAAUAAAUAUACACGGUGUUGUUAUUAUACUUAAACUCCAUCCAAAUUUAACUUUGAAUCUCACCAAAUUCCAUAAUCACUUGUCUUACGGUUGUAAAAGUUGGAAUUACAAUGGAAC
rnacentral:lncRNA from 1 species